rnacentral:rRNA from 1 species
GACGAACGCUGGCGGCGUGCUUAACACAUGCAAGUCGAACGGAAAGGCCCUGCAUUUGUGGGGUGCUCGAGUGGCGAACGGGUGAGUAACACGUGAGUAACCUGCCCUUGACUUUGGGAUAACUUCAGGAAACUGGGGCUAAUACCGGAUAGGAGCUCCUGCUGCAUGGUGGGGGUUGGAAAGUUUCGGCGGUUGGGGAUGGACUCGCGGCUUAUCAGCUUGUUGGUGGGGUAGUGGCUUACCAAGGCUUUGACGGGUAGCCGGCCUGAGAGGGUGACCGGCCACAUUGGGACUAAGAUACGGCCCAGACUCCUAAGGGAGGCAGCAGUGGGGAAUAUUGCACAAUGGGCGGAAGCCUGAUCCAGCAACGCCGCGUGCGGGAUGACGACCUUCGGGUUGUAAACCGCUUUCGCCUGUGACGAAGCGUGAGUGACGGUAAUGGGUAAAGAAGCACCGGCUAACUACGUG